GGAGAGGUGGCAGAGUGGUCGAAUGCACCGCACUCGAAAUGCGCCAUACCUGCAAGGGUAUCGUGGGUUCAAAUCCCACCUUCUCCGCCA
rnacentral:tRNA from 1 species